UAUCGACGGACAGAACCAGAGCCGUGGCUCAUAACGUCAUGUCCCUUCCCAAUCCGUGGAUCAGGAAUCGUGCUUUCCAGUUAUUGCGACAGAUCUGGAGUAAAUGCGGGGAUGGACUCGUCGCCUACCUCAGUCCGCUGGAUUUUUCCAUUAGAGAGUUCAGCUGGGAGGAGUCCUCUUCUCUUCUAGGACAAGGCUAUCCAACGCCGGUGAUGGUGGAGUUCGUGAUGCAGCCAACUUGUUGGAUUGACCAUGUUGGAGGAGGUUAAUCACAACGACGCCCCUAUGGAGUCGUUACAUUAAUCCGGUGACCAAACCAGUUGCCGAGCAAAUGCUGUCGCCGAUGCAGGAGCUGAACGCAGAAGGGCAGAUCUGUGAGGCGCAGGGGGCAGCUGCUACGGAGGAAGGAGGUUCACCACGGGCAUCCGAGCAGUCGAUGGGCGAGAUGAAUCCUAUAGCCCCUGGCUGGACCAAAGGGAACAACAAGAUGUCGCUAGCCGAUGCUCAGGUUCAGAACAGGGCAUUGCCGGGUCAUGACUUCUGGGCAAGGACACAGUUGCAUGUUCAUUUGUAUCACCUUAAUCAAGAGCGGCAAUUAAUGUUUGCAGGAAAAAGCAAGAGGUAGCACACCUCCAAAUGUUCAAGACUCGUUUUCCUUCCUUACAUUGACGAGUAACAUAAGGCAUUUUGUAAAAAGCAGCACCUUCUUCUUUUUCAGUUUGAAUUUCGUCAAUUUUCAUAGUGACCCAUGUUCUGUUUUAUAGACUUUGAAGAAGGAAGCAAGUUUACUUUCUAAAAAUCUGAAGUCCCUUGAUGAGAAUAGAAUAGACGUUAAAAAAUCUUGUGAGGAUCAGAGAGCAGCUCUGUUAAAAUUAGACGAUGAAUUGUAUGCUGUUAAUGAAAAUUAAAUGACAGGAUAACUUGGAUCAGUCCUCCAUUGCUUUACCUAAACCGUAGGCCUACUUGGGUAAUGAGUGGCGACAAAGAAAUUGGGGAGAGAUACCGGCAAUGGAGUUGCGUGUCCAGCUUCUUCCUCGUCUCUGUAGAUAUGGAAGACCUUGCCGACAACACAGUGGUGGAGCUAGGCUGGCAUUAGGCCCUGGGCCACCUCAUGCCGUAUUCAAGCAUUAUAGAUGCAGUAAUCUACAACAGAUAUUAUAGUCCGAAGAAUUUUGUUGUCACGACCACUGCCAAGGAGGAUAGGUGAGGGAAAGGAAAUCAGUUUGUCGGCAUAUAAAUGAAAAACACAUGUCGUUAUGCUCGACACAUAAUCUCUAAAUUAGCACAAUUGUUUGGUCACCGCAUUUUUUUUUCAUUCUUCCAUAGCAAUGCAUAGACAUUCAACUAGUACUUGAUUGAUGCAAGAGAGGAUUGGUGCAACUGCACCUAGUAGGACAUCCUGUCCUAAUCAAGCUACUGGCUUGGAGAAGGCAAUUCUUGGUUUUGCGGACAAUCCUAAUGAAUAUGUCAUUUAACCAAAACUAGGUAUCAACUUUGAUUCUGUAGGAGAAGCAUAUGAUUUCUACAAGGACGCUGAGUUACCAUGCUCGAGCACACAUGAGCUCGUCAUCUUAGCGGUUGAGCUCGACAUCGAGAUUGGGUUCGUUGAAUUGCUGGGCCAUUCCUGUGUUUGUUUGUAAAAAUGGACAUUUCUUUAUACGUCCGACGUGAACACUGGGCGAGCGCCAUCGACGGCUGGAAGCAGAGUUGUGGCUCAGGGCGUCAAUGUCCAUGCCGGUCCGUCGACUGGGAAACUUGCUUUCCAUGAACUGCAAUAGCAACCGUGUUAAUGCACGGAUGGAAUGCAGGAUACAAUUAUCUCCUACCUCAGGAGUGUUGAUUCUUCCAUUAGGGAGAGUGGUGGCCUCAGGGAACAAACUUCUGUACGAAACAAGAAGAAGGUAGGCGCUGAAGAUGGAGUUUUUCAUGAAGCCAAUUAGAACAAUCAUGCCAGAAGAGGUGACUGACAUCAACAUUCCGAUGGAGCCUCUGCAUUACCCAAUCUUCGCAAUGGUUGUGGAGCAGCUGCUGCCCAUGAGGGAAGUGAGUGCGGACAGGCAGAUCUGUGCGACGGAGGCAGCGAUGAAUACACAAGCAAGGAUCUGAGCAGUCGAUUAAGCAGAUCGACCCAAAAGCUCCUGGGUGGAUGCGAAGUGAGGAUUGGUGCUGCCGCAUCAGGCAGGACGUCGUGUCCUACGAGCUACUGCACUUGAGAAGGCGAUUCAUGGUUUCAAAAUUGGGUACAAGCUUUGAUCUGCUCGCCGCAAUCCGGGCAGGGAAUCAGCGGCAAGAUAUCAUCGGCAACGGCAGAUGAGGAAGAGGUAGACAUCAGGUAGUGGAAGAGCACUGCCGAUCUGGUUCCUUGUAAUGGUCUAAUGGACUGUAGAUGUGUGGUGGAUCUAGCCGGAGUUGGAUUUAGCCGGUGAGGAAGGAGGCGAGACGUGUACUGGAAGAUUAGUUGUAACUGCAACGGUGACAUAAACAAAUUAUUUUUUGAGGCAAGUGACAAUAAAUAAUGGGUUGGCAGUUCUCCGUUA